rnacentral:rRNA from 1 species
UACGAAGGGGGCUAGCGUUGUUCGGAAUUACUGGGCGUAAAGCGCACGUAGGCGGAUUGUCUAAGUCAGGGGUGAAAUCCCGGGGCUCAAACCUCCGGGAACUGCCUUUGAUACUGCAAAUCUCGAGUCCGGAAAGAGGUGAGUGGAAUUCCGUAGUGUAGAGGUGAAAUUCGUAGAUAUUAGGAAGAACACCAGGUGGCGAAGGCGGCUCACUGGUCCGGUACCUGACGCUGAGGUGCGAAAGCGUGGGGAGCAAACAGGAUUGAGAUACC